rnacentral:rRNA from 1 species
AACGAACGCUGGCGGCAGGCUUAACACAUGCAAGUCGAGCGCCCCGCAAGGGGAGCGGCAGACGGGUGAGUAACGCGUGGGAAUCUACCCAUCCCUACGGAACAACUCCGGGAAACUGGAGCUAAUACCGUAUACGCCCUUCGGGGAAAGAUUUAUCGGGGAUGGAUGAGCCCGCGUUGGAUUAGCUAGUUGGUGGGGUAAAGGCCUACCAAGCGACGAUCCAUAGCUGGUCUGAGAGGAUGAUCAGCCACAUUGGGACUGAGACACGGCCCAAACUCCUACGGGGAGGCAGCAGUGGGGAAUAUUGGACAAUGGGCGCAAGCCUGAUCCAGCCAUGCCGCGUGAGUGAUGAAGGCCCUAGGGUUGUAAAGCUCUUUCAACGGUGAAGAUAAUGACGGUAACCG